rnacentral:rRNA from 1 species
UACGAAGGGGGCUAGCGUUGCUCGGAAUCACUGGGCGUAAAGGGUGCGUAGGCGGGUUUUUAAGUCAGGGGUGAAAUCCUGGAGCUCAACUCCAGAACUGCCUUUGAUACUGAAGAUCUUGAGUCCGGGAGAGGUGAGUGGAACUGCGAGUGUAGAGGUGAAAUUCGUAGAUAUUCGCAAGAACACCAGUGGCGAAGGCGGCCACCUGGGCCGACCCU